CAGUCGCCGCGGGAAUACGAAGGGUGCAAGCGUUAAUCGGAAUUACUGGGCGUAAAGCGUGCGUAGGCGGUUUGUUAAGUCUGUUGUGAAAUCCCCGGGCUCAACCUGGGAAUGGCAAUGGAUACUGGCAAGCUAGAGUGUGUCAGAGGAGGGUGGAAUUCCGCGUGUAGCAGUGAAAUGCGCAGAUAUGCGGAGGAACACCGAUGGCGAAGGCAGCCCCCUGGGCCAACACUGACGCUCAUGCACGAAAGCGUGGGGAGCAAACAGGAUUAGAUACCCCUGUAGUCCCUGUCUCUUAUAC
rnacentral:rRNA from 1 species